GCAUUUAUUAGAACAAAACCAAUUGUCCUCGGCCAUAAAUUGGUGAAUCUCACCAACUACGCUGAUCGCUCGGUCUCGUACCGGCGACAUAUCCUUCUGUGUCUGCCUUAUCUCUGUCGAUGGUAGUCUACAUGUCUACCAUGGUUGUAACGGGUAACGGAGAAUAAGGGUUCUACUCCGGAUAGGGAGCCUGAGAUACGGCUACCACAUCCAAGGAAGGCAGCAGGCGCGCUUAUUACCCUCUCUCAGAACGAGGAGGUAGUGACGAAAAAUAACGAGGCAGUUCUCUUUGAGGUCUGCCAUCUGAAUGCCUGUACUAUCUAAACCCUUUAACGAGGAUCAAUUGGAGGGCAAGUCUGGUGCCAGCAGCCGCGGUAAUUCCAGCUCCAAUAGCGUAUAUUAAAGUUGUUGCGGUUAAAAAGCUCGUAGUUGGAUCUUCGGUCUCAGGCAGGGGUCUGUCCAUUGGGCAGUAAUUCGUGGCCUAGGCCUACCUUACUGGUUUUCCCUUGGUGCUCUUUACUGAGUGCCCUGGGUGGCUAGUACGUUUACUUUGAAAAAAUUAGAGUGCUUAAAGCAGGCUUUUGCCUGAAUAGUGGUGCAUGGAAUAAUGGAAUAGGACCUCGGUUCUAUUUUGUUGGUUUUCGGAGCGCGAGGUAAUGAUUAAGAGGGACAGACGGGGGCAUUCGUACUGCUACGCUAGAGGUGAAAUUCUUGGACCGUAGCAUGACGAACAACUGCGAAGGCAUUUGCCAAGAAUGUUUUCAUUAAUCAAGAACGAUAGUUAGAG
rnacentral:rRNA from 1 species